rnacentral:rRNA from 1 species
UACGUAGGAGACGAGCGUUGUCCGGAGUUACUGGGCGUAAAGGGUGCGCAGGCGGCCUGGCGCGUCACGAGUGAAAUCUCCUGGCUCAACUGGGAGGGUGGUCGCGAGACGGCUGGGCUUGAGGCUCGGUGAGGGGCGUGGAAUUCCGGGUGGAGCGGUGAAAUGCGUAGAGAUCCGGAGGAACACCGACGGCGUAGGCAGCGCCCUAGACGAGACCUGACGCUCAGGCACGAAAGCGCGGGGAGCGAACAGG